rnacentral:tRNA from 1 species
GCGAAAGUAGCUCAGCGGUAGAGCAUCGCCUUGCCAAGGCGAGGGUCGCGGGUUCAAUUCCCGUCUUUCGCUCCA